GAUGAACGCUGGCGGCGUGCCUAACACAUGCAAGUCGAGCGAACAGACGAGGAUCUUGCUCCUCUGACGUUAGCGGCGGACGGGUGAGUAACACGUGUAUAACCUACCUAUAUGACUGGGAUCACUUCGGGAAACCGGCGCUAAUACCGUAUAAUAUAUUGAACCGCAUUGUUCAAUAGUGAAAGUCGGUUUUGCUGUCACUUCUAGAUGGAUCCGCGCCGCAUUAGCUAGUUGGUAAGGUAACGGCUUACCAAGGCAACGAUGCGUAAACGACCUGAGAGGGUGGUCGGCCACACUGGAAGUGAGACACGGUCCAGACUCCUACGGGAGGCAGCAGUAGGGAAUCUUCCGCAAAGGGCGAAAGCAUGACGGAGCAACGCCGCGUGAGUGAUGAAGGUCUUCGGAUCGUAAAGCUCUGUUAUUAGGGAAGAACAAAUGUGUAAGUAAAUAUGCACGUCGUGACGGUACCUGAUCAAAAAGCCACGGCUAACUACGUG
rnacentral:rRNA from 1 species